rnacentral:lncRNA from 1 species
CCGAAUGAAAAUGUCACUUGGCUGCUUUUAAGAUGACUUUCCCAUGUCGAUGUUACUGUAAGUGACUCAGCAGCCCUCUGCCCUGGGGACUUUCUAAGCAUCGUUGGCUAUCAUGGGUGGCCUUGGACUUGGUUGUGGGGGCUAAGCUUAGCAUAGGAAGCUUUUCCCAGGAAGGGCUGCAGACUCUGGGGUGUAGCUGUGCACUGUACCAUCAGGCCCUUUCUCACUUCGCCUAGCUCACUUCUGCAGCUACAGAACGUGACCUGUGGGUUAUGAAUCAGGUUUCUGAUCCGUCCUACUUUUCCAGUGGGCGCUGGAGGAAAUCAGCUCCAUUGCUGGAGGAGAAAGUCAAUCCAAUGGCACAUGAAAGGACUUCAGGGUGUCAUCUGUCAAACACCCCAGGGAGGAACGCAAUGGCCACAGCCACUCACUUCUUUAGUGAUAGAUCUAGGGUUGGGGAGCCCAUUUUUCCUGAUUUGCAAUUUGUAACUGAUGUACCUUCAGGGCUACCACACAGGGAGGGGAGUCUCAUCCAGGUAAUUAAGUUGCCCAGUUGAUAAGCUCAGACCUACACCACACCGCACCGGACAGUAUUCACUGAACUGUGACAGGAAAACCCAUAUAUUUACAAGUGUGUUGUGUGUUAGGAAUAGAAGGCCGGGCUUUGUGCAUGUUAGGUAAGCUCUCUACCACUCAGCCACACCUCCAGCCUCAAUUAGGUCUUGAAAGUAUUCAGAAAACCCUGCGACUAUGACAAAGGGUUAUCUCUAAUUAUGCAUCUCUAUGGAGGCUAGGGGACAUGGAGUAAGGUGUUCACCCUGAGGAGGACCUGGGGCCCACUCUACUGUUGGCUGUUGUCCAACUGCUGGAUGGAAAUCGUCACUCUGACUAGCCUGUGACUCUUGCUUUGCCCACCAAACCCCAGGAGCUUGCAGGACAGGGUGGUGAUACUGGGGCACCUGUCAGACAAUCCUAUUGGUUUCUUUUGGGCAAGAGAGGAUGAAAGGAGGUUGUCUGGAGUCUGCAGUAUGGCUCCAGCACUCGUGGUGUUCUGCUGGCGCACUCUGGUCAGCAUCCAGCAGUAAUGCUUUGAGUUUAACUGGGGCUUCUAGAACUUCUCUGCGGUGAUGUUAAGCCUUCCUGGGCUUCUCUAAGAGAGUUCGGUGGUCUCCUCGGAGUUUGUCAGUCUGAUGCUAGCAGACCCAACUGGCCUUUUCUCCCCUGCAUCAGGGUCCUAUCUGCUGAAGCCUCGGGCUCACUCCCAGGCCACUGACAUGUCGCACUACUGAGUACUCUCAAGUCCGCUGCAGCCCCUCGUUUACACCAGCAGAGAACAGAGUGACAAGACGAACAUUCUAGCUAGCUGAGAUGCUUGAUGCUUAGUGCAGCAACCAAACCUUGCCUGAGCCAGUAGAGCCAGAAAUCAUCAUGGCCAUGGAGUCACCAUGUAUGUCACUGUUGUCUCCUGCGCCCUGUCCAGCUCUCUGCUGUCCCCCGCAGCCACCACAAGGGCUAGGCUGUUUAAUGAGCCCCACAGCUUCUAAGAAAUUCAGUGGCUUAUUUGUAGUGUGCUUGAUGUCCCAGGUGAAGAAGCAAAUGCCUACGACCUGAUCUGUUCCUUUACCCUGUGCCCUGUCUCUGGUUUAGGGGAGGGGGAACUUUCUAGCAAUUAUGGCUUUGUUUGCUGCCUGGUGCUUUUAUAGUCUGUCAUUUGUUCUCAUUUCCUUUUUUAAAGCCAAAAUUGCAUUGGUUUGGUUGUCCUUGUCUAGUGUAUAUUUAUUGUUUUACAAACAUGGGUAUAUAUGUAUGUAUAUGUAUAAAACCAAACUUAUAUAUAAAAAAAAGUCAAGGCAUGUAUACUAGAUAUUUUAAAGUUAUUUAUCAAAGGGAAAAGAUGUGUGUUAUAAAGUAAAAGAGUCUAUAUUUUAUAUAUAAUGUAGAUAGCAGAAAAUAGCUUAUAAAUUAUAGAAGGUUUUACUUUUUGUUUUCUAUUAUUAAACAAAAGAAAUUUAAAAGCUAAAGGCCACCGUGACUGCAGCUGUGCUUGGUGUUCUCAAGGCAAAGUGCUACAGAGCUGGAGGUGGCUUGCCCUCCCUGGGGACGUGCAGUUCCAGGCUCCUGAGUGAUGAUGCCCCACUGGUGCCUGUGUGAUGGAUGCUCUGGGCCAGGGUAGACAAGCUCAACCAGCUGGCUGGGCUGCUCCGACAUCGCUUCCAGCUGUCCACGAAUGGCUUUGAUGGGUUGAGCGUUGGUGGGAGAAAGGAUGAAAGGGGGAAAUAAAGUCUUCAAAGAAGAGGUG